rnacentral:tRNA from 2 species
GCCGAGGUGGUGGAAUUGGUAGACACGCUAUCUUGAGGUGGUAGUGGCAACCGCCGUGCGGGUUCGAUUCCCGCCCUCGGCA